CGGACGGGUGAGUAACGCGUGGGUAACCUGCCCUGUACAGGGGGAUAACAGUUAGAAAUGACUGCUAACACCGCAUAAGCGCACGGUAAGGCAUCUUAGUGUGUGAAAAUAUUCAUAGGUACAGGAUGGGCCCGCGUCUGAUUAGCCAGUUGGCAAGGUAACGGCCUACCAAAGCGACGAUCAGUAGCCGGCUUGAGAGAGUGAACGGCCACAUUGGGACUGAGACACGGCCCAAACUCCUACGGGAGGCAGCAG
rnacentral:rRNA from 1 species